UACAGAGGUCUCAAGCGUUGUUCGGAUUCAUUGGGCGUAAAGGGUGCGUAGGCGGCUCGGUAAGUCGGGUGUGAAACCUCCAGGCUCAACCUGGAGACGCCACCUGAUACUGCUGUGGCUAGAGUCCGGUAGGGGAGUGUGGAACUCCUGGUGUAGCGGUGAAAUGCGCAGAUAUCAGGAAGAACACCAGCGGCGAAGGCGGCACUCUGGGCCGGAACUGACGCUGAGGAGCGAAAGCGUGGGUAGCAAACAGG
rnacentral:rRNA from 1 species